rnacentral:rRNA from 1 species
UACGAAGGGGGCUAGCGUUGCUCGGAAUUACUGGGCGUAAAGCGCACGUAGGCGGAUUGUUAAGUCGGGGGUGAAAUCCUGGAGCUCAACUCCAGAACUGCCUUCGAUACUGGCGAUCUCGAGUUCGGGAGAGGUGAGUGGAACUGCGAGUGUAGAGGUGAAAUUCGUAGAUAUUCGCAAGAACACCAGUGGCGAAGGCGGCUAACUGGUCCGGUUCUGACGCUGAGGCGCGAAAGCGUGGGGAGCAAACAGG